GACGAACCGUGCGAACGUUGUUCGGAUUCACUGGGCUUAAAGGGCGCGUAGGCGGGCUGCCAAGUCAGGGGUGAAAUCCUCCGGCUCAACCGGAGAACGGCCCCUGAUACUGGCGGCCUCGAGGGGGGUAGGGGCAGGCGGAACUUCCGGUGGAGCGGUGAAAUGCGUAGAUAUCGGAAGGAACGCCGGUGGCGAAAGCGGCCUGCUGGACCCCAUCUGACGCUGAUGCGCGAAAGCCAGGGGAGCAAACGGG
rnacentral:rRNA from 1 species